AGUCACAUGGAGCCAAACUAAAUAUGCAAAUACAAUUUUUUACAUAGUUUGUACGUAGCCAGCUGUCUAUUCUACGCAUAUUGACCUAGGUUAUGGUUUCCUGUUUUGUACAAAGAUUAUAUAUUAGAAAAAUGCAGAAGCAUGCUCUAGUGAGCUAUGUAUUGCAAGACCAAAUAUGCACAUUGUAAAAGUGCACCAAGGGCAGCACGGUGUCACAGCCCAUAGCAGUACUGGCGCAUAGCUCCAGGAUCCCUGUUUCAAUCCUGAGCUACUGUUGGUGUGAGUGGGGUUUCGCAGGUUCUCCAGAGGACCAUGACUAAGUCAGGAAAAAAUGUCUAAUGGUGUUCUUAUGCUGCUGUGAACCACCCUGGAAAAUCUGAGCUGUAGGUGGAUUUGGCACAACUUGUCUAAGACUGGAAUUUAGUAUAUAAUAAAGACACCUUAAACGAUUCCUAGUGGUGUUGUAUACUGUAUGUGUAGCAUGGUAAAUAUUAAUAUACUCUCAAUACUUCUAAUUUCAGUACGAAUGUAAGGCGGCUGCUGAAGGAACCAGAAAUACCUCACACACCCACUACACUUGUUUACAGGUUGCUACAGAAAUGGGCGCUAUUUGUGAACAAGACAAUAUGGCGCCCUCUCUUUCGCUCUCUCUGUGUAGACCAAUCAAAUCCCUCCGAUGUCUCCUCACGUCACACGCGUCACAUUGUCUUGACUCUGAUUGGCUGGUUGCUCCGCGUCACAGCCAGGCAACACGGCGGGAUUUUCAGACGGCUGCAGAUUUUUUUUCCCCUCCCCUGGUUAUGUUUCAUGUUUUUGCUGCGCUCGGACUCGGCGGUUAUUCUAUAAUAACUUUACAUUCUUUGGUAACGAAGACGUGUGUGGCAUUGUAGACGUGAUAAUAUAACAAACAAACAAACCAGAAAUUGGAUUAACUCUAGCUAAUCUAAUUUAAUCUAAGCUAAAGCUAAGCAGUUCAGCGGAUAGCUGUUAGUGAGCUAGCUUGGUUAGCGUCUCAGUGCUGUAGCUAGGAGGAAAUGUAUUAAUGUAUAAUUAUGGAUUAAGAGACGCUUCGUUUAAGUUUGUUUGUUGUGUGACGGACUGAAUAUUAUAAGUAUUUGUAAAAUUAGACCGUUAGACAUAAUGGACAGCCAGCAGCACCGCUAUAACUCCUCCAGUCAGGGACGAGAGAACAAACCGCAACGGAAAAAGGCUUUCGGUGGAGCCGGACCUGCACCGUGUGCGACCUGGGGAAACGAUGACUCGGAGAAAAAACCCAAGUUUAUGGACCGAUUUGCGAGUAUUCGUAUCCCGGGCAGUAAGAAGGAGAGGACCCAGCUUUCCCACAUGACCAAGCAGUCCUCCUGUGAUUGGUCUACCUCUUCUGAGUUUGAGGAUCUCUCCUCCAGGAUCACUUCGGAGAAGGAGAUUCUUGCUCUCUUUGAGAAAAUGAUGGAGGAUAUGAACUUGAACGAAGAUAAGAGAGCUCCACUCAGAGAGAAGGACCUGAGCAAAAAGAGAGAGAUGGUCCUUCAGUAUAUUGUUACAGCGGCUAAAACAGGCAGUCUGAAGAGCAGCAGCCAUCAGAUAUCUCCUCAAGAGUUUCUCAGUGAACUGAAAAGUGGAGCGACUGAUGAGAGGCUGUUUGCCUGUCUAGAUUCUCUCCGAGUCUCUCUCACCAGCAAUCCAGUCAGCUGGGUGCAGAGUUUUGGUCAUGAAGGCCUCGGACUUCUUCUGGACAUACUGGAGAGGCUGCUACACAAAAAACACCAAGAGAAGGUUGAUAAGAGGAGUCAGCACAAAGUCAUCCAGUGCCUAAAGGCUUUCAUGAACAACAAGUAUGGACUGGAGCGGAUCCUCGGGGAAGAGAAGAGCUUGGCACUGCUGGCCCGAGCUAUGGAUCCUCAUCAGCCUGCCAUGAUGACGGACGUCGUGAAGCUGCUCUCUGCCAUCUGCAUAGUGGGAGAGGAAAACACCUUGGAGAAGGUGCUUGAAGCAAUCACCAGUGCAGGGGAAAGGAAGGAGACCAGCCGUUUUAGCCCUAUAGUCCAGGGUCUCACUGACCGCUCCGUCCAGCUCCAGGUGGCUUGUAUGCAGCUCAUCAAUGCUCUCGUUACGUCUCCUGAUGAGUUGGACUUCAGGCUGCACAUCCGAAAUGAGUUCAUGCGCUGCGGCCUGCGAGAGAUAUUGCCGACUCUGUGUGCUAUCAGAAAUGAGGCUCUGGACAUCCAGCUGAAGGUAUUUGAGGAGCAUAAAGAGGAGGACAUGAUGGAGUUUUCCCAUCGCCUGGAGGACAUUAGGAGUGAAUUUGAUGAUGUGGGAGACGUGUUUAACACGGUGUACAGUCUGGUGAAGGACACGGCCGCCGAGAUGCAUUUCCUCUCCAUCCUGCAGCACCUGUUGCUCGUCAGGAAUGACCAUUUUGUUCGGCCUCAGUACUUUAAGAUCAUAGAGGAGUGUGUGUCUCAGAUUGUACUACAUCGCAGUGGGACAGACCCGGAUUUCUCCUACCGCAGGCGUCUGGAUGUGGACUUCUCUCACCUUCUAGAGGUGUGUGUGGAUAAGGCACGGGCAGAUGAAUACGAGCAGAGGGCUUUGGAGUUAGAGCAGAAGUUUGAUGAAGAGAUCAUGGGGAGACAGGAGGCCUUGGCCGAGCUCCUGAAGAAGGAGGAGAAAAUCAAUGAGCUGGAAGCAGAGGUGCAGGCCUUCAGAGCUCAGUUUGGGACCGCUCCAGUGGGCAUGCCUACAGCGCAGUCUGUCCCAGCCAUGUCGUCGUCUUCGUCAUCCUUUCCACCAUUACCUCCUCCUCCACCCCCUGUUGGAGCUGCUCCUCCUCCUCCUCCUCCUCCUCCUCCCCCACCUAUGCCAGGCUGUGCUUCCAUGCCCGGAGUACCUCCUCCGUUUGGUGUCCCUCCGCCCCCGCCUCCUCCUGGACUGGGGGGUCUUAUGUCCUCCCCCACUCGGUAUGUGCUGCCGUUUGGUCUUCAGCCCAAGAAGGAGUUCAAGCCUGAGACCAUCAUGAAGCGCCUCAACUGGUCCAAGAUCCAUCCACAGAAAAUGACCGAGAGCUGUUUUUGGGUUGUCGCCAGCGAGGACCGCUAUGAAGACGAGGACCUGCUCAGCCGUCUCGCUCGCACCUUCGGCUCUCAGAGACCCGCCCGGCGAGAUGAGGAGGAGCUCGAGGAGAAGAAAUUCAUUAAGAAGAGAAUCAAAGAGCUGAAAGUGCUGGAUCCUAAGAUCGCCCAGAACCUGUCCAUUUUCCUGGGUUCCUUCCGUUUGCCUUACGAGGAGAUCAGGAGGAUGAUUGUGGAGGUAGACGAGGAGCAGCUAACAGAACCAAUGAUCCAGACUCUGGUGAAGCACCUUCCUGAGCAGGAACAUCUGACUGCAUUGGCCAAGUAUAAACAUGAGUAUACCAGUCUGUCUGAACCUGAACAGUUUGGGGUUGUGAUGAGUGUUGUGAAGCGCCUGCGGCCGAGGCUGAACUCCAUCCUGUUUAAGCUGCAGUUUGAGGAGCAGGUGAGUCACCUGAGGCCGGACAUGCUGGCGGUGAGCGCGGCGUGUGAGGACGUGAGGAAGAGCAAAGCCUUCAGCAAGCUGCUGGAACUUGUGCUGCUCAUGGGCAACUACAUGAACACAGGCUCUCGCAAUGCCCAGUCCUACGGCUUUGACCUCAGCUCCCUCUGUAAGUUGAAAGACACCAAGUCGGCUGAUCAGCUGUCCACGCUGCUUCACUUCCUAGCUGAGGUGUGUGAGGAGAAAUUCCCUGACGUUCUCAAAUUUGUUGAUGACUUGCAACACGUGGACAGAGCCAGUCGAGUCUCGGCGGAGAACCUGGAGAAGAGUUUGAAGCAGAUGGAGAAGCAGCUGCUGCAGCUGGAGAAAGAUCUGGACACUUUCAGCUCCCCUGACAACCAAGAUGACAUGUUCCACAGCAAGAUGGCCAGCUUCUCCAUUCAGGCGAGGGAGCAGUACCAGAAACUGGUCGUCAUGCACAGCAACAUGAACACGCUGUUCCAGAACAUGCUGGAGUACUUCGCCGUCGACCCCCAGAAGACCUCGGUGGAUGAACUCUUCACAGACCUGAGCAACUUCAGAGCCAUGUUUGUGCAAGCGGUGAAGGAGAACGGGAGGAGGCGAGAGGCGGAGGAGAAGCAGAGGAGAGCGAGGGCUGCCAAAGAGAAGGCCGAACGCGAGAAGCAGGAACGACAGCAGAGGAAGAAGAGGUUGCUGGAGGUCAACGCAGAAAAAGAUGAGACUGGCGUGAUGGACAGUCUGCUGGAAGCGCUGCAAUCCGGAGCUGCUUUCAGAGACCGACGGAAGAGAGCACCUAGGCCCCGAGAUGAAGCAACUCACAUGGUCAGCCAAAGGCCAGUUCUGAAAGACUGCAACCACGAAAACACAAAGGUACCUCUGCAAAGGUCACGGUCUCGGCAGAAUAUCAAUUUCAGCCUUGCGCGAGCCCCCAUUUCCAAGGAGGCUCAUUAUGAGAGCGAGGCCCAUUCAUCUGCGGCACGGAGAUCAGCCCACCGCCCAGAGAGGGAGCAGGAGAAGGAGCGAGCGAGAGAACGAGAGAGUGAGAAGGAGCAAACUCGCCCCAGCUGCUCAGCUAACGGAGAGACUGACGUGGAGGCUCUUCUAGCCCGGCUCCGCGCCCUGUGAUGACCUCACCUCUAUCACCCGAUGCUCUUUAACCUCUCUCUUCCGUAUACAUUCAAAGUGGCCCACCAUCUCUUUUGCUCUAAUGACUACAAACGAGCACGAGCACACAAACAACAGAAGAAACGUCUUGACACUUAGCCUUUCCUUUCACAUGUCUCUGGCAUGUUGUUUUUGAUAGAAGUGCUGCCAUUGACCAAAUCGUUCAACUCAGGAUGUUUUUGUUUAAGAAUGGUUAAUGGUUGAGAACAACACAAAGUUUACACUUCUCGAAAUGUAUAAAAGGAGACGUGCAUUUGUAGAGAGGUUUGUGUGCGUAAGUAAGAGGAAAGUUAUUCUCUACAACCCAGCGGUACAGUGCUGUCGAAAUGUUUUCCGAGGUCUUAGGCAGAAAAUGGUAUUUAAAUGCUACAGCACCUCGUCUUUAAUACGUGUGCACUUUGGAUAUAUCCUUUUAUUCUAUGCAAACUCAUUAAAUUUCUUUUCAAAAUAUAUAGUUUAUUUGGGAAUUGUUUUAUCUUUUAGAAUUGCUCAUCCCAAUAUGUAGUGAUGGUGGGCUCAGAGAUAGUAAUGAUAUAUUGAUAGCACAUCAUACUAUAGAUAAAUUACAAAUAUAUAGUUGGGUUUAGGAUUCAAUGCAUAAAAUUAAACCAUAAACCUGCUGCUUUUGCUGCUAAAAUAUGCCAUUUUCUUAAUAAUCUGUUCAAUUCCAAAUAAUCAUCCUUUGACGCUUGCUCAGGACCAAGACCUCGGAAAGCAAUUUUAGAAAAACCGCGAGCAAGUCAUGUUGAGUGAUGAGUUUUUUAAUUAAAUCUUUCUUUUUUCCCUCCCUUCCCUUUUUUACAUUUUCUCCUAAUACGUUAAUUGCCCACUAGUUCCCGCACACUCCCUAGUUUUCUCCCCUAUCAUAUAGCAGCUAGACACCCUGAGAGUGUGAGGACCAACACAUGGUUUCUGUGAGAAAGCCAGCCGCUGCAUCAUUUCAAACUGCUACUGGUGCAGUCUUACAGGUUAGCCAGAUGCUAUCUGAAUGAUAUACUCUUUUCUGUAUUUAUGAGUGCAUGCACACCUUUGAUUGGCCAAUGUAAUGCAAGUCUGAUCAGUGACGGUCAGACAAUUGCCAUCACUCCUAAAGAGAACGCAUCCAGUUAUCAUUUCUACAUAUUCCAUAUGACAGCAGCUGCUCCUACUUUUGUAUUUGCUCAAUCCUAACACCAUCUUUUUAUUAAACAGACAUAUAAUAUGCAUUGUUCAUUGUUGUGUGUGCGUGCUAAAAGGGUUACAUAAUAGAUUAGCUACAGGGAAAUCUUUCUUAAUCUUUAAUGUUUUGUUGUGCCGUCUCUUCUUCUGUUCAGAGCGAAUGAAUCUUCAAAUUAAUUGACCUGUAAUUCUCUUUCUUGUCAGCAUAGUGUUAUCUUGUCUUUUCCUGAUUUAAUAAUAAUCUCAUGCAGUAUUAUCAAAUUGAACAUGACACCUGUGAUAAAACGAUGAUGUGGAUAUUCCCUUAAAUAUAUUAAAAGCCCUGUAUGUAUUUACUAACUUUUAUACGUCCCGCAGUUUAUUGCGUAGGUUUGUUGGACCAUUUCCAUUAAAGAAACAGAACACUGUUUUGGCUGUGUGUUCGUUCCGAGGUGGUGAAUGGAACAGCGCGCCGGUGGACAUCAUCUUGUUUUCGCACUUUUAAAUGAGAAUGAAAGGAUUUGUUCAAUUGUAGUGUGUGACUUGUGCGUCAGACCAUAAACACCACCAUGCAUGACUUCCGGGUUAUUUUCGUUCAUUCGUUCGUUAAAGAGACCAAUGAUAAUGGUGUUUUCUACUUUGACACUGAACCACAGUGAGAUUCGUAGAAAGUAUACUGAUUUCAUGCUCUCCAGACUGGCAGGGGGCAAUGCUAAAGCAAUAGUGGAACAUGCAGGGACAAGAAAUCCAUCACUAGCUCAUACACAAACAUCACUGGGGCCAUAUUUAGACGGUGAUACCGUGAACUAUUGCGUAGCUGGUGCAAAGCGCACCCCGAGAUGAUGCAAGAUUGUGUGUUCAGUGACGAUGCAAAGACGAAGCUUCUUUAUGAGUUGUAGGCAUGUGACAUCAACACCCGUGUGAUUUUUUUUUUUUUAUUAUUGCUUUUACAAAAUCAGCAGUUGGUUUGCCUUUAGCUAAGCUGCUGAGUUCUUAAUAUAACUCAGUGGCCUAACUUUAACUGGGUGCUACCCUGGUCUUCUGGCACUGAACCCUCACUGUGGGCCGGUUCAUUAAGAGAAGAUUCACUGAGCCCUUUGAAAACACGACUGAAAUCAGAUUGAUGGCACAGACAUGGAGAACUGACUGAUCAUGCAUGGAGUUCACCCACGUUAUUCUUUUUUCUUAGGGAUAACUACUUGAUCUCUGUCUCAAACGUGUCUCAGACGUGUCCGAGUCAGUAGCUGCAGUAAGGUCCCAUGCAACCACAUAUCAAUUGGAGGACUUAACCCAUUAGGUCUUUUCAGGAAAACCAUAACCAGCUGAGAGCCAAGUGAAGCCGCACUCUUCUCAGAAUGGAAGGCUGCGAAGUCUGCAAAAUAUUCAACCGAGUCUUAAGUGCUUAGAUGUUUAAUAAGCAAAUAAAUCUGUUUGUUUAUAGAAAUAAUGAUUAAGCAAACUCCAGACUAAUGAAUAAAAUAUUAGGCGUUAGAGGAGAAAUAAACACUGUAAAACACCAUUCUUAAAAUGCUGUUUAAGAAUGCUGGCUCAGAUCGGUGGGAGUGUUUAAAUAUAUCCUGUACGCCAUCAUACACCAACUCAGAUGCAUCCUAUGUUGCUCUGCCUCAAAAAAGUACAGCCAAAGUCCCUCCCUGAAAUGUUAGAUGCAGCUUCAUACAGAGCCGCAGGCAUCAUAACAGAGAAGUAGUGCUGGAUCACGAAUUAAGCUUGCCAGCUAACCUUCGCUCACUAGCUGGAAGACAAGCUCUUAUUAAAGUAGGAAGGUGUUUCUCAUUCACUCGGUGUUGAGUAACCGUGACAGUUACGUUAAUGUCCACAAUAAAGUUCAUUAUUCAUGCAUUCUAAUUAAUGUGUUGAAUGCGGCUUGGGACACAGCCCUAAAUUCACACUGAAUGAGUUGUACUUGUACUUUGCAGCUGCUGGUAACUUUCCUCUUCGCAGUUUCUUCAGUAGAUUCACUCACCGGGCAAACUUCCUGAAGAACAUUCUCAGUGAGCCGAGGUCCAGUGGCGCCAGAUGCUACACCUACAGUUUAAAGCUUCCUGUCUGAGGUUUCCAGAAUAUUUCUCCACGUUUGAACACUCAACAUACAUAUGGAUGUGGCAUAUUUUUACCCAGUUCUUUGCACAACCGUGAACGCAGCACUGCCCACUGGUGUCCCGGAGCAAAAGAAAAGAGAAGAGAAUUAAUAUUUCACUCAGUUAGUCACUCAUCAGGAUCCACUGUUUAUUCAGAAAACUCGUUUGAUGCCCCAGAGGAUUGUAUGGGGGGGGUGACAGUGAGUGAGGGAUAGUUGAGGCAUCUACAGUGAUGAAAGACUCUACUUUCAGACUGUACAAUAAACGGCCCCAUUUUCAGACUGUUUAUUGUAUUAUAAAUAAUCAUAACGGCUUUCUAAAGGUGUGUGCUGCAAUUUAAUUAAUCCAGGGGAAAUGUGGUGGGCUAACUACAGAGAGCCCUACCUCUUUCACACCCUCCACAAUAUGUCUUUGAUGCUAGUGGGACUCGGAAGUAAUUUACACUCUGAUUAUUUAUAUUUGCCUGUGUAAGCAGUGUAAAAUGAAGCCAUGAAUGCUGGUACAGCACCUUCCCAAACUCUUAACCCAGGCUUAAUUGCUUGGUUACAAGGUUACAAAAGCGCAUACACUGUUUGUGUAUAUGUGUAUAUAGCGCUGUGAAAAAGUAUUUCUUCUGUUUUUGUGUACAUCUCAUACUGAAUAGUUUUAGAUCUUCAAAUGAAAUACAACAAAGGCAACCUGUGUUUAUAUAUAUAAUAUAAA